UAUAUAUAUAUAUAUAUAUAUAUGCACGAAAGUUAGAGUUUGUGAAUCCAACCAAAUAAGGGAUAAUAUCUAUCCAAUAUACUGCUGGUAGAAUACCCAAUAAUUAAUACGCAAGUGUUUUUUCAUUGCGUGGCAAUUACAUUACCGAGUUUAAUAAAUG